rnacentral:rRNA from 1 species
UUUCCCUACGGGGCGCAGCAGUGGGGGAUAUUGCACAAUGGGGGGAACCCUGAUGCAGCGACGCCGCGUGGGUGAAGAAGCGCCUCGGCGCGUAAAGCCCUGUCAGCAGGGAAGAAAAUGACGGUACCUGAAGAAGAAGCCCCGGCUAACUACGUGCCAGCAGCCGCGGUAAUACGUAGGGGGCAAGCGUUAUCCGGAUUUACUGGGUGUAAAGGGGGCGCAGACGGCGAUGCAAGCCAGGAGUGAAAGCCCAAGGCUCAACCAUGGGACUGCUUUUGAAACUGUCAAACUAGAGUACGGGAGAG